GACGAACGCUGGCGGCGUGCUUAACACAUGCAAGUCGAACGAUGACGACCGAGCUUGCUCGGUCUGAUUAGUGGCGAACGGGUGAGUAACACGUGAGCAACCUGCCCUUCACUCUGGGAUAACCUCGGGAAAUCGGGGCUAAUACCGGAUAUGAGCUCCUGUCGCAUGGCGGGUGUUGGAAAGUUUUUCGGUGAAGGAUGGGCUCGCGGCCUAUCAGUUUGUUGAUGAGGUAGUGGCUCACCAAGGCGAUGACGGGUAGCCGGCCUGAGAGGGCGACCGGCCACACUGGGACUGAGACACGGCCCAGACUCCUACGGGAGGCAGCAGUGGGGAAUAUUGCACAAUGGGCGAAAGCCUGAUGCAGCGACGCCGCGUGAGGGAUGACGGCCUUCGGGUUGUAAACCUCUUUCAGCAGGGAAGAAGCGAAAGUGACGGUACCUGCAGAAGAAGCGCCGGCUAACUACGUG
rnacentral:rRNA from 1 species